CCUCUGGGAGUGUGUACUUAUGGAUGUUCGAGGCAUUUUUUGUGAGGCUGCCUCUCUGCCAUUAAGUUGGUGGGUUGGUGGGCUUGCAUCGUUUACUGUGAAAAAAUUAGAGUGUUUAAAGCAGGCGUUUGCUCAUUUGAAUACAUUAGCAUGGAAUAAUAAGAUACGGCCUUGGUGGUCUAUUUUGUUGGUUUGCACACCAGGGUAAUGAUUAAUAGGGACAGUUGGGGGUAUUCAUAUUUCAGCGUCAGAGGUGAAAUUCUUGGAUCGCUGAAAGAUGAGCUUAGGCGAAAGCAUUUACCAAGGAUGUUUUCAUUAAUCAAGAACGAAAGUUAGGGGAUCGAAGAUGAUUAGAUACCAUCGUAGUCUUAACCAUAAACUAUGCCGACUCGGG
rnacentral:rRNA from 1 species